rnacentral:rRNA from 1 species
AGAUUGAACGCUGGCGGCAUGCCUUACACAUGCAAGUCGAACGGCAGCACGGGAGUAAUCCUGGUGGCGAGUGGCGAACGGGUGAGUAAUACAUCGGAACGUGCCCAAUCGUGGGGGAUAACUACGCGAAAGCGUGGCUAAUACCGCAUAAGAUCUACGGAUGAAAGCAGGGGAUCGCAAGACCUUGCGCGAAUGGAGCGG